rnacentral:rRNA from 1 species
UUGCGGCGUGCUUAACACAUGCAAGUCGAACGGAAAGGCCCUGCUUUUGUGGGGUGCUCGAGUGGCGAACGGGUGAGUAACACGUGAGUAACCUGCCCUUGACUUUGGGAUAACUUCAGGAAACUGGGGCUAAUACCGGAUAGGAGCUCCUGCUGCAUGGUGGGGGUUGGAAAGUUUCGGCGGUUGGGGAUGGACUCGCGGCUUAUCAGCUUGUUGGUGGGGUAGUGGCUUACCAAGGCUUUGACGGGUAGCCGGCCUGAGAGGGUGACCGGCCACAUUGGGACUGAGAUACGGCCCAGACUCCUACGGGAGGCAGCAGUGGGGAAUAUUGCACAAUGGGCGGAAGCCUGAUGCAGCAACGCCGCGUGCGGGAUGACGGCCUUCGGGUUGUAAACCGCUUUCGCCUGUGACGAAGCGUGAGUGACGGUAAUGGGUAAAGAAGCACCGGCUAACUACGUGCCAGCAGCCGCGGUGAUACGUAGGGUGCGAGCGUUGUCCGGAUUUAUUGGGCGUAAAGGGCUCGUAGGUGGUUGAUCGCGUCGGAAGUGUAAUCUUGGGGCUUAACCCUGAGCGUGCUUUCGAUACGGGUUGACUUGAGGAAGGUAGGGGAGAAUGGAAUUCCUGGUGGAGCGGUGGAAUGCGCAGAUAUCAGGAGGAACACCAGUGGCGAAGGCGGUUCUCUGGGCCUUUCCUGACGCUGAGGAGCGAAAGCGUGGGGAGCGAACAGGCUUAGAUACCCUGGUAGUCCACGCUGUAAACGGUGGGUACUAGGUGUGGGGUCCAUUCCACGGGUUCCGUGCCGUAGCUAACGCUUUAAGUACCCCGCCUGGGGAGUACGGCCGCAAGGCUAAAACUCAAAGGAAUUGACGGGGCCCCGCACAAGCGGCGGAGCAUGCGGAUUAAUUCGAUGCAACGCGUAGAACCUUACCUGGGUUUGACAUGGAUCGGGAGUGCUCAGAGAUGGGUGUGCCUCUUUUGGGGUCGGUUCACAGGUGGUGCAUGGCUGUCGUCAGCUCGUGUCGUGAGAUGUUGGGUUAAGUCCCGCAACGAGCGCAACCCUUGUUCACUGUUGCCAGCACGUUAUGGUGGGGACUCAGUGGAGACCGCCGGGGUCAACUCGGAGGAAGGUGGGGAUGACGUCAAGUCAUCAUGCCCCUUAUGUCCAGGGCUUCACGCAUGCUACAAUGGCUGGUACAGAGAGUGGCGAGCCUGUGAGGGUGAGCGAAUCUCGGAAAGCCGGUCUCAGUUCGGAUUGGGGUCUGCAACUCGACCUCAUGAAGUCGGAGUCGCUAGUAAUCGCAGAUCAGCAACGCUGCGGUGAAUACGUUCCCGGGGCUUGUACACACCGCCCGUCAAGUCAUGAAAGUUGGUAACACCCGAAGCCGGUGGCCUAACCGUUGUGGGGGAGCCGUCGAAGGUGGGACUGGUGAUUAGGACUAAGUAAU